UAUUAUCGUAAAAAAAUGAGUGAUUCGAGUGAGGAAGAUGAUCUAACGCCUGUGGAUGUUGCACUUUCCUCGCUAUAGCACCAGGCACUGCCAGCGCCCAACAUUUGCUCCUAGAAUUGACUAUCAGCACAUCUUUCAUUCUGCUGCUUCUAUGCCAGUUACGCCCGCUAUACAACAGUCUGAGGUGCCUACCAUCAUCAACAACAUAUGUACUGCAGAUUCUUCUGUAUUUGCAGAACAUAAUUAUAGUGUGAUGAGUCGUUCGAAAAGAAAGACAUUAGAUGA